CUCAAGCAAUCCCCCAUCUACCUGCCUGAGCCUCCCAAAGUGCUGGGAUUAUGCCACUGUGUCUGGGAAUUUUACAUGUUUUAAAUUAAAGCAAAUCUUGGUUUUUGAUGAAGUGCUGAUUUACUUAUAUUUCACUUAGUCUUUCUUUCAGAAAAGUUGUGUGGAAAUAAAAUGGUUUUAGUAUAUUGCUUUAUAAACAAAUUCAAAGUCAUGAGCUCUUUUUAUUAUCCUCUUUGCUUUGCUCAUUUCCAUGAACUGUACAUCUCUAACCUAAAUCAGCUGUGGAUAGGGUAAGAAAGCAUUAGAUUCUUACUCAGUUUAGAUCUUCUGCCAGGAAAACCGACUGUGUCCAUUGUCAUCUAAAUUAACACUUUUUUAAAUAAAAGGAGUCACUUUUAACAGUAAUGUCAGGGCAAAAAGUAUACAUUAGAUGUAUGGUCAUUCUUAUCAUUAGGAUUAUCAUUCUAAUGUGUUGUUUAUUAUUUUGAAACUCUAGGGAGAGAAAAACUCAUUUUUUCUUAUGUUAGAAAAAUGUAUCCUUGUGUAGAAUAUCAAGGUAAUAUCUUUAAUGUUUCUUAUUUACCAAGAUAAAUUUGUAAUGCAUAUUUUCUUUUUAAAUUAGCUUAUUUAGGAGAAAUUGCACUUGAUGAAUCAUUUACUCUCUUUUCAAUUAGUAACAUUAACUUUAUCAUUUUUGUUUCAAGAUGUCACAGCUGUUGUUCAGCACUAGAAAUUAUAUAAAUUAUUAGCCGAAGAUGAUGACUGGCAACAUUUAUGUCUGUUCCUUCUGUUAAUUUCUUGUUCAGAAAGUCUGUUGUUGUAAACAUCCCCGACUGGAAGCUGUAAGAUACAACUAAGCUUUCAGUCAGAUGUUUGCUGCUACCGGCUAUUCACAGACAUCCUCUUGAUAUAAUUCUAUCCCGGAGUGGAGUUGAAGAGGCUAUAAAACGUGGAAAAACCUCAGAAAUCUUUAGCUGUCUUCUUUUACUGCACUGACAGUGCAUGUAUUAUGAUAGUUGAAUGUAGGGUGCUCUCCUAAUAACAGGAUACACCAUCUCAGCUUCAGAGUUAGCGUGCUGCUGCUGGGCCUUAGAGAAUUUAGUAGUUAAGUAAAAAUUGUCCCCACUUAUUCCUGUUUCUUCCCUGUCAAUGAAACUUUAUUCUUUAUAACCUUUCCAAGUAGGCUGGAGUUUAACUUCCCAACAGUUCAAGAAACUGAUUUUCUCCAUUAUGAAUUCUGUAGAAGUUCUGGAGAAUAAUUUAAUCACUGCCACCCAGCAGUAUGCAAUCUAGAAAUUUCACCUUUCCCUGUACUUAAGAAAUGUGUGUGCAACAUUUUUCUUGCUCCUCUUAGCCCCCCACUUCCUGUUCUUCUCACCCUGAGUGAUGUCACAGCUCCUAAUCAGAGCUCUCCUCUAAGAAAAACUGCAAGACGUCAACCACUAAGCCUGUUUACAUUUGCUAAUGGUUAUGCUUGUCUUUUUAGAUUAAUAUAUUUUCCUAAGUGUUUUCAGAUUGUUGCUUUCAGAUUGAUUGCUUCCUCCUUAAAAUAUAGCUGCCCUGUAAUCAGCUGCGUUGUAUCUCCUUUUUGUGUUUCCCCACAGAUCUAAAUACUCCAGGGCUUUUCUCAUAGAUGGCAUUCAGUGUGGACUAAUUGAUCAUGUAUAAUUUUAUGACAGCUGUUUUCUUAGUUUUAAACAUUUGUUUUUCUGUCUUUUAGAUGCUGGAAAACGUUUCUAUUUUAUUGACAUUUUUCUUAUUGGCAUUUUUCUUUUCAAUAAAGCAUUUUUUAGAAAUCAUUUAUUAUUAUUAAACUGUUAGACAUCAUACUAAGGUUCAGUACAUAAUUAACCCAAAAGAUAAAGGUCUUGCCAAUCUAAUUUUUUACAUGCUUAUUUUCUUUGAUUAGAUUAUAAGCUUCCUGAGGACAGAGACAUUAAAUCUUGGUAAUUCUAUUUUUUUUCUAUCAUAAACAUCAGGUGAAGCACCUUGCAUGUAUAGUACUUUAGUAAUGAUAUUUGUAUUAUCUUAUUGCAGCAGUGUUCACUGUUUCCUUUUAUCUUUUAUCCAGAUGACCAAAGGACAGUUUUGGUCAUAAUGUAGUUACCCCAGAUGUAUUUGUGCUACAACAUUUGUUUUUUAAAUACUCCUUUGUUAGAGUGGUAGUUUACAAGACUUAUUUGGGGACGGGGGAUAGUUGCUUCAGACUCAAGUAGCUUUCCAGCUUGUAAAUAUAAUUUUCAGACUUGAUGAUUAGCAUGCAUCAAGCAUCCCUUCCUCUGAACCCUUAAUAAAGCAGACUUAUUGUAUAUUCUGUGGCCCUCUGUUUUAGCACAUUGGAAACCUUAGACUCAAAUAGCAGCGAAUGGAUGGAGUUAUUACUGAGAGCUCAGAAGUGUUCCCUGCCGAAGGUAGAAUGUAAUGUGUUCUCUAGUAAUAGGAUUAUUUUGUUUGACCAGGUGACACUGUUUAUUUCUUAUGAAAAAUUUUCAUAUAUAGCUUUAAAGUUUAGUAAGAUGGGUAGAAACUGCAUAAUUUAGUAAUUUAUACAGUGAAAUUGGAAAGGUUUUUCAAAAUGGUAAGGCCAAACCUAAGCUAAAAGAUGGGGUAGGCAUUCUUUCUAGUAAAGCUAUUAUAUUCUGCCCAGCUAGGCCAGUUAUCCCUAGAUGCUGCAGGAUUGAUGGGGCGAUCUGUGUUAUGUAACAUUUGUUCUAUAUUAUUCUGCCCUAAUGAGGUGAAUCAAAGACCAUGUCAGCUUUAAUUCUGGAUACCCUUGCUUCAGUGUAGUAUAAUACGCAAGUACAACCUUUUUUAGUAGUUUUCAGAUGACUUCUUUAUGUUUUUAAGUUGAAAAGCCACUAACUUCCCAUUGGCCUAUAAGGUUAGCAAUUGAUUAUUUAUAGCAAAUGCCUUGAAAUGUUAGAUAAAUCAGUAUUUGUCAGUAAACCUGUAAUAACUUGUUUCCUUAGCCCUUAGUAUUUAGGAAAAAAUUGUGAUAUUCAUUGAUAGGGCUUAGAAAGCUCAGAAAUUAUUUAUUACUUGAGAUUUGUUGAACCAAUUGGUAAAACAUUUUUAGUUACUGAACACCAUGCUGCAAAUGACAGUAUUUUAUCCUUAGUAUAUGGUCUGAAAUCACUUAGGGACUACUUCUUUUUAAGCAAAUAACUAACUACAGAAUUAAGUCUUCAAAUUUAUUUCAAACUAAAUGCUUUUGUACAAAUAUUCUUGGUUAGAAAAUAGUCAUAUAACUACACAGUUGGACAUGUUCUCAUUGAUCUCCACCCCUCAGUUCCUUCUACAUGAGUCAUGGGCUUGAGGUUACCCAGAAGUGGACUGUGAACCUAUAAACCCUAUCUGACUUUGAUCGCUUCUACUCUUGUUAGAGCUUUAUUCAUUGGAUGAAUGUGCAUUAUUUGCUGUGUGUGUGCUCAGGGAAUAUUUUUUGUUUCUUUUUUAAGUUUGGGUAUCAGUUUGGGCUUAGUUACUUUUUAAAAUUAUGCUGUUUCAGAUAGUCUCUGCCACACUCUACAUGGCCUGGUUAAUUGUGGUUGGACUCAUCCUAUUUUGACAUUGCCUUUUGCUUAUCUAUAGCAUAUUUACAAACGUUCUAAUAAUUUGACAUUCACUGCUGUCUUUGCUUUGGCUUUUCAACAAAUUUGGUGAAACAGUACAUUGCUUUUCAAUAUCAGCUUGCAUCAGAAUUACUUGGAGGGCUUAUUGAUUAAAACACAGAUUGCUGGGCCCUGCAAAAAAAAGUUUCUGAUUUAGUAGGUCUGGGGUGGAACUUGAGAAUGUGCUUUUUUUCCCCACAGUUCCCAAGUACUGCUGAUGGUGCUCCUCUAGGCCCAUGCUUUCAGAAUCGCAGAGCUCAUCUUACAUUCUUUUCCUGUUAGAUAUUAUGCUCAAUUAAUACAUUAAGUAAAACAGAGAAAAAUCCUUAACUUAAAAACAUGUUGUAAUCCAGAAGUUGGAUUAUAAAAAAAGUUUGUUGGAAACAUGAGACCAUUUUUUCUCUCACAGAAAAAAUAUAUUAAUUGUCUAGCUAGGAGGGGCCUAUUUGAAUGUGUUUUCAGAGAAAAGCAGAAGAAAAAAAUUUGGUUGUAGUAGUAGUUAAAACAGAAAAAGAAAUAUGCUUGUGGGGGGAGAUAGUAUAUGUGUAUUUAAUUUUGAGAACCAAAGCUUCUGGAAAACACCUCGAAGGGGACAAGAGGCCAGGUAGAGACGUUCUAGGUUCCUGAAAGUCCUGGGAUGCCUCUGAAAUGCUAAAGAUUUUUAAAGUUUGCUGGCAGUGGUUAUUAUAUGUAAUUUUACUUACAGAUUUGAAGAUUCCCUCUUCUUUGACGUAAGUGUAUUGGUAGGACCACUGGUAAUAGUUAGUAGGGGUAUUUGUGGUAAUGUAUUUUUAAUCAGAAAGAAUGCAGAAAGAGGGGGAGACAUUUCUUUGAGACACCUUAAUGACACUGGGAACAGUAGAAGGUGGAAAGAGAUCAGAGUGUGGGAAAGAUGUGCCUGAGAUGAAAUUAUCUGAAUUCUGAAUGUGGGGGAGAAGAUGAGGGAGAGGGUUGAGGGGGAGGAGAGAUGACUAAGCUCCUCACAGUGUUUCAUUAACUGUCUUUUACCUAAAGCAGGAAUCUUAAUGAAGAUGGGUGGAUGCAUCAUACUGGUCAUCAAGUAAGUUCUUAUAAAUGCGAGUUUGAUUGUUUUGAAGGGAAGGAUAUAGGAAGGGUGGACAAUUGCUACAUUUAGAUAUGGAAUGCUACAGGAUGUCUGCAUUUAUUGUUGUAAAUUCCUUUGGUGAAAAGAGUAUUACUUCUUUGUGACUAGCGUGGGCAAUAUCAUGAGACCCUCUCUCUAAAAAAAUUUUUUUAAUAAGAAAAAUUAGCCAUAGUAGCAUGCCUGUAGUGCCCCCCCCACCCCGGACAGCCCCCCUCAACCAAAAAAAAACACCCAGCUUACUUCUGUCUUUUCCUUGGAUUAUACACUUUCUCUCAGGGUAUCUUUCUCGUUGACUCUUGCCUCAUUUAUGUGAAUGCUGUACCUGUUCUUUUUUUCAACAGAGUCUUUGGUAAAGGACCAUAUAAACUUGGUAAAGAGUUUAAGUCCUGCUUUAAACCGAGUUUCAGUUCAUGUAAACAUCCUACACUCAGCUGUAAUACAUGGAUUGGCUGAGAGGUGGAUGUUUACUUCAGCUGACUUGGAAUACCAACCAAUUAACAUUGAUAAAAGGUUUGGCAAGAAUAGUAUACAGAGGCCUGAAUUUUUAAUGUAAUUAAAGGUUUGUUGGAAAUGUGAGACCAUUUUUUCUUCCAGAGAAAAAGUGUAUUAAUAGUCUAGCUGGCAGGGAUCUACUUGAAUAUGUUUUCAGAGAAAAGCAGAAGAAAGUAUGGUUACACUGGGAGUAGUUAAAGCAGAAAAACAGUAUGCUUGUAGAGGAAAAACUUAACCUAAAUUUAUUAAAAAUGUAUUAAAAUUGCUUUAAAUUUGUUAAUUUAAAUUUUUAUUGUAUCUUUUCAGUUUUGUUAUUAUACCACCAACAUAACAUACAGCUCUGGAUAUUGGGACAAAAGGCCCUUCUUUGGUAGUUGGGGUCAGAUUUGUAGGUAUUGCGGUGUGUUUUAACAAGCAUGGGCUUUGACAGCAGACACGUGUUGCCAUCUGGACUCCACAAGUGAAUUUGCUACGGGAUUUGGAGGAGGGACAGGCAGUGUUUCCAUACCUCAGUGGUUUUCUCAUCUGCAAAGUAGGUAUGGUGGUUGCCUGGAUUGACUAAUAAGGUGAAUAUAAAGUAGGGUUCAUUUGUAUAGUACCUGUCAUAUUAAGUACUCAAUAAAUGCUAUUAUUAAUGCUAACUGUGUUUUAGGUGUUCAAUAAAUAGUUGCUGUAAUACUUAAAGCGGACAUAACUUGUGUUUAUUUUAGCAAUAAAGAUGAUGCCAACUUUUUGGUUUAAUGGAAAUGCUUUGAAUCUUUGAUAUUAUUGUAACAUAGUGGCCAAUAAUUAUGAAGCCCAGCUUCUGGAGCUCAUGUGCUGAUUCUGCCAGUUACUUAGUUGUGUUACUUUGGGUGAAAUUAUUAAUCUCUCUGUGUCUCAUUUUCCUCAGUCCACUAAAUUGGAUUUAUAAUGGCACCUGCCUGAUAGGGUUGUCGAUACUAAAGGAGUUAAUUUAAAAAUAAGCUAAUACUUGAUAUAAGUAUUGUUUGGUCUAAAUGUUAUUUCCAUUUUCAUGCCUUUAUUUAAAAUACUGAAAAUUAAUUUUUUAUAGCUUUGUUUUUCAGUUCCAUGAAAUGAGCCUGCCUUUUCAUUUUUUGGUGAUGCAUCCACAUUCUGUAUAGGUAAAAAGCAAAACAAACAAGCAUAAAAGGAAAAUUAUGUAAGAAGUAUACACAUCCCAGCAGCUUGGCAAGUAUCUGUAUGCUUUUGCCUAUGCUUAAAUCCAGAAUUAGAAUUCAUGUUUGGUGCUCCAAUGGAAGAUGUCUAAAUAUUAUGAGAAAUACAUGAUUAAAUAAAAAUGUGAAAUGAAAACGUGGAGAGUUAUUGUUGAAGGUGAGUACUGUUUUUCUAAUUAUGUAUUUUAUUUGUUUAAUAAAUAAUUUGUUAUUUUCUUUGUUAUUAGGAGGGAGCUAUUUUAUUCUGUGCUUGGGUGUAAAGCAUACUACAUUUCAGUGAGCUCCACAUGUUAAUUUGAAACUUGCCAAAUGCUUACAUUAUUUUAUAAUUUAUAGCACUUCAGGAAACAUGUUGCAAUGCUGUAACAAAGCAUAUAAUCUAAAGGUAGUUUUAUGAAGUGUUUUUCUCCCAAAUUAAGCAUAUUUGGAAAUUGCCCAUCAAUUUGUUUUUGAACCUCAGUGCGUAAAAUAUGGAAUUUUUCUUUCAUAUGCUCAGAUGUGAAAAAUACUCAGCAUAUGCCUGUGGUUUAGGCCACAAAAUGGCCGGUAGGUUAAAUUUCUAAUUCUAAUGUUUAAUGCAUUGCCUUUUUCCUUCUGGUUUAGUGACCAUAUGUUUAUAUCUUUAUGUUACAUACGUUCCUGAUGAUAUAAUAAGGUCUUUGAUCAUGUGGGCUAUCAGGUUUGCCUCACUUUGUCUCUUGGAAGAAGCUAUACAUGAAACUAUAGUUGUACUUCAGUGAAAAUUUGAAUAUUUUUCUUGUUUGAAUUAAUGCAAUGAAACAUUCUAGUUGCAGUUAGCUGUCUCCCACCCUUACAGGAAGGUACAUGCCUCCAUUUUUUAAAACACUGUAUAUUUAUUAGAAUUGUUACAGAAUUCUAGUAAACAUUCUGAUCACAUAUUUUCUGAUUAAUAUGUGCUUAUCAGUUUUAAAUAUGAAAUCUGGAUAUAUGUUAAAAUAUCUCAGUUUUUCCCCCUUGUUUACCAUAUUGCAGUUUAUUAUUAAUGGAGAACAUAAUGUAAAAUUGGAUGCCUUUGAUAAUUUGGAGAUGUGUUCUGAAAUUAAACUUGAACUAUUUUCUGUGAAUUUUGAAGAUUUGGUAUCUUAUAAUUAUUUGGUGAGCCUUUGGCAUGAAUUAUUUAGCUUCUCCCCUGUUUCACGAUUUCUUUCUCUUCUCAUCAGUUUCCAAUAGGAGAAUGUUAUGGUUCUAAAUGUCUCCUUUAGACUUCAUUAAUUGAAAAAUGUCAGUUAAGAUAUAGGGGUAACCUGUGAUAAGUAAUAGAGUUUAUCUUUUAGUUAUAUUCACUUCAGGUUUUUUAAAUGAUUUUUUUAGAUAAAUGUCAAAGUAUUACUGCAAAAUAUUAUACAAUAUUAUAAUAAGCAACUAACCUCUUCAUUGAUAAUGGCUUAAUAUUGAGAGGGUUUUUAUUCUUGUUUUAAAUUCCGGGUUAAAAUGUAAAGGUCUUUUUAUUUUUUUAAUUUUAAUUCUUCACAAAGUUACCAGUGCAUUAUAAAACCGAACAACAAUUUCACAUUUAGAAUGUUUACAUGUAUAUAAAUUAGGAUUUUUUUUUUUAUAUUUGCCUUAACUUCCUUUAACUUUUAUGGAAAAUCACUAGUCCCAAGGGUAUUUUUACUAUUUAAACACAUUAUUCCUGUGAUUCAAAAUAGCAGUAGAACCUGUUGAGCUACUUAACUUUCUGUCUUGGGACUAUCCAGGUGCAGUUAUAACUGGUUUCAAAGUUGUGACCUUUUCCUUGCUUGUUUCAAAAUCGUUCCUUAAAAUAUGUUCAGUAUUUUUUCUUUUGUCUAAAAAUAUUUAAAAACAGGAUUUGUGGGUUGUUUUGUUUUUUAAAAUUAGUUUGAGAAAGUUCCUUUGCCACUUGUUUUCUGUGCAAAUGUUGUAAGAACUCAAAUUCUCUGGGGGCAGGGAGGACUUUAUAAGGUUUUUUUGGUUGAAGGGUAUAGAAGGUACUUAAAGGUGUUCAGUUGCCUUUAUUUGGAUAACCCAAUCAUUUUGACAUGAUAAGCUUUCCCCACUUUGUAGGUUAUCCGAAAAUUUAGUGGGGGGCAAGUAUCUUGUUUAUAUUUAAUAUCACUUAAAACUACUUCCUAUGUCAAUAGCACAUACAAAAAAUUAUCUCCUCUUUGUAGUCAAUAGCACAGUCAGUUAUUUUUCAAGUAAAGGUAUGAGUAUGAAUGAGAAAAGUUUGUGGAUUGGGUAUUGUCUGUCCUUCAUAUUCAGAUAACUUGCUAACUGUUUGGUCAUUCAGUCUAUAAUAUUAAACUUUUUUAAUGUUAUAAAUUCUUCAAAUCAGUAUCUCUAUUAAAUGCAGUGACCAAACUAUGUCUUCAAAACUGAUAGAAUGUCAUGAUUAGAUGUGCAGAAGACUAUGUUACAUGGAUAAUAAAUGAACCUUAAACAUACAGAAAUUAAUGUCAGAUUAAGCUAAAACAUUAAGCAAAGUUCAUACAAGUUUGCAUACAUACAUAUAUAUUUAUUUAUUUAUUAAUGAUAUGUGGAGAAUCUUUGUGUUUCAUAGUCACUAGAUCAGAAGCAGUUGUCAAGAAUGUCUGACUGCUAUUCAUCCUGUGGCCAAAGUAAAUUUCAAAUGUUUUUUUCUGAAUGGUUUUCUUUAGUCUCUUUAUUCAUCAUUACAAGUCUGUCAAGUGACACAUGUCCUUCUCAUUCCUGGUGCUUCCUGAGGAGGCAGUUCAGUGCAGGGGAAGGAAUAUUAUUAGAGAUAAAGGGAAAAACCAGAAGUACUUUCUUCUACUCUCAUGUUCCACUCAACACAACACUUCUCUCACCAAAUGUGUGUGGGGAUUUCUCUCCACCAACAACCAGCAGUUCUUUACUGCAGAUUUUCCAAUGGAUACCAGCCAGGUGUCCUCUAAUUCAGUUCAAUUCUGACAUCAUCUACCGGAAGAUAGUGUCAGAUCCCACACGUGGAUGGCUCAGUCCUACAAGACUAUCCCUUACUUUGGAUCUCUGUCACAAGCAGUUAGUGGUUUGUGAUUCUGACCAACUGGCUAGAAAUCAGGGGUCCCAUGAUCACCUCCUCAGGUGUGAUUAAUUCGCUAGAGCAGCUCACAGAGUUCAGGGAAACACUUUAUUUACAUUUACCCAUUUAUUAUAAAGGAUAUUGCAGAGGAUGCAGAUGAACUGCCAGAAAGAUGAGAAUAGCACAGGACAGGACACUGAGAAGGGUCACGGAGCUUCUGUGCCUUCUCCAGGUACACCACCCUCCAGGAAUAGUUCAUGUGUUCAGCUGUCUCAAAGCUUAUUCGAACCCUGUCCUUCUGGGUUUCUGUGGAGUCUUCAUUAUGUUAGGGCUCAGAAACCAGUACCCCAAAACAUGGGACUUUGACAUGCUGAAUUAAAGAAGCAGCCCCAAGACCUCUUGACCUUCUCCAACUCCCUUCACCCAAAUUGUGUGUCUCCGAAAGCACAGUAUGAGGCUGUUCACCAGAGUUCCCUUAUUUACCUAGAAACUGGACUCCCAAAGAGGAACACAGUUGCCUGCGAUUCCGUCCCUGAAAUUUCAUUAACUAGAGAAGAUUAAACUCAUAUCACAGAGGAAGAGACUGAAAAUUAAACACCACACCUGGAGCGCAGAUGACCUGUCCCAGUCUAUUAUCUGUUCUCCAGUCGCAUUUACAAACUAUUGUCUGAUCUUCAGGCCCAUUUAUUUAUAGCUCUCCCACUUUCCCCAAUGAAAAGGAUAUUUAAGAGUCAGCCGUCUAUCUGGCCCUUUCUUUUGAGUUUUGAGUUUUCACAUUUUGUAUGACUCCUGUGCACACACAUGCAUGCAAUCACUUUGUUAGGAUUUUCCUUGUUAACUUUUUUUUGUUAUAGGGGUAUCUGCUAUGGUUAUAUAUGAUGGGGAGGAAAGGGAUUACUUCAUUUCUGCCCCUGCAGUCUGUAGGCAUAAUUGAUACACCAGAUUGCUGGUGAUUAGCUUAAUCUUCAAGCCCUGUCCUGUCGCUGGAAGUUGGAGGGUGGCCCUGAAAGCUCCAACCUUCUCAUCAUCCUUUGAUCUUUCCAGUGACCAGACCCCACCCUGAAGCUAUCCAGGGUUACUCAGCAACAUUCAUUUCAUUAGCAUGCAAAUAACAUUCUUACAAUUUUAGAGAUUCCAAGGGCUUUAGGAAAUUGAGAUGAAGAGCAAAUAUAUAUUUCACAAUAUCACAAACAUACUUUCAGGAAUUAGACUUCUGAUCUAAUCUGUGCUCCCUCACUUGCCAUCUUCGUGACCUUGAACAAGUUGUUCAACUUUUCUGGAUAGUUCUGUGUUUAAAAAAAAAAAAAAAAAAUUGAAGGAAAGGCUACAUCAUGUUGUUAUGAGGACUAGAUAACUAUGUGAUGGACCCUGCACAUUGCUAGCAACAAAAGGUAAGUACUAUUUCUAUUUAUUUUGCUCCCAAGCUUAUGUGAGCUCCCUCAGUGUCUACCACCAAUUCAUAUAAUGUGUACCCUAGCCAAUCUUAAAAGUCAUCCACCUUGAAUCUUUAAUUAACGUGUGUUUUUAAAACUGCAUUAUAAAAACGUUAGUGUUUUUAUUUGGAUCCUAUGGAAGUUAGACUUUUUCAUGCAAGCAUUCAAACCAUUCACUUCCAACAGAGCAGAUAAAUGGUCUGUAUUAUUUCAUUACGUAUAAAAAAAAGAUUAAGCAUGUCUCAGGCAGCUCAGACAAGGCAGAUAAAAGAUUAUCAAGGAAUAACAUUAGAAACACUAAUCAAAGUGCCUAAAAAGCUUUGUGUGAUCCAGGUAUUACGGGGCUGUUGCAACAGUAAAACAAAACUUUACAAGAUAUGAAGGGCUAGAGAUAGGUAGCACAGAGCAGAUUAUGUCAGAGAAGUCUCUUCUAAAAUUGUGUUGGAUAGCCUGGGAUUUGAACUUAUGCCUUGUAUGUGUGUCCGUGUGUCACAGGUUGAACAUGCAAGAAGCAGUGUUCAAAAAGGUGGCAAACUUCUUUUACUUGUUUCUCAGUCUUUUCAGAUCAUUGCUUAGAAAACACUGAUAUAUAUGUACAGUAAAUAUUUUAAAUAUUAGCUAACCCUAUUAAAUUGUGUGUCCUUGUGCUGCAGUCAUUUAAUGACCCCAUUCUCUUGUAAGUUGGCAUAUGAUUUGAGAUAACUCUAAGUGCUAAUGGAUUGUUUGAAGGAGUUAAAAGCAAAACCAGGAAGACAAAACUAUUUUUAGGAAAAAGUGAUCAUACAACAGACAGGCCUUAAAUAGAGGAAUUGAGAUAUCUCUGUCUUUACUAUGUAACCUUUAGCUAAUCCCUCACGCAUUCUGACCUCAUGUUUCUUGUAUGUAAAUGAGAAUGUUACAGGCUUGUAAAUUCCUUUUCCUCUGUGACUACAUCCAGUUUUAUUUAUAUUAUUGUGUGUUUGUGCAUGUCAGUAGAGCACAGUAUUUAGUAGAGUGAGUUCUUAGUUAAACCACCUGGAUUCAUUUGUAAAAUGGGGCCACCUAUCUCUUAAAUUGUAAUGAGGAUUUGAUUAGAUAAUCUAGAUAAAUCACUUAGCACAAGAGUCUCCAGCCCACAGACUACUGACCAGUACUGGUCUGUGGCCUGUUGGGAGCUGGGCUGCACAACAGGAGGUGAGCAGGGAGCAAGCUAGCAUUAUGGCCCGAGCUCCACCUCCUGUCAGAUCAGUGGCAGCAUCAGAUACUGGGGAGCACGAACCCUGUUGUGAACUGUCCGUGUGAGGGAUCUAGGUUUCCCACUUCUUAGGAGAAUCUAAUUAAUGCCUGAUGAGCUGAGGUGGAACAGCUUCUUGCCAAAACCAUCUCAUGAAACCAGUCCCUGCUGCCAAAAUGGUUGGGGACCUCUGACUUACCUAACACAUUACCUGGCAUAUACUAAGCACUCAGAAAAUAUUCCGUUUCUCAAAACUCAGUUCCAGUGUCAAGUUUUAAUAGUAUGUUGAUCUUAGACCUCCAAGGUAAACUUGGUCCUCUCUUUGUGCCAUAAAUGUGCCUUGUACUCUGUAGUGCUAAAUUGCUGUCACUAGUGCUAAAUGUACCACUAAUUUAUCUGCGUGUCUACUUCUCAGAUUGUGAACCUGUUGAGGACAGAGAUGGACAGAGCCCCUUACUCAUAUUUAUAAAUUUUCUGGCAUGAUAAAUAUUUGCUGAAGGAAUAAACUUGUAUUCUUAUUUUUAAGCAGGGUUUUCUCCCCAUCUGAGUAGAAGACAGUCCAGGAGCAAAGGAAGUAGAAGUCUUCUCAAAAAUCUGGCCACAUUCUCAACCCACCCCACCCCUGCUUUUUUAAACAGCUAUUUAAUUGCCAUUGUAAUCCUAAGGAUUGGAUCAAUUUUUCACCUUCCUUCAUACUUUUUUCCUUUUAGUAAGAAAAUAAAGUAAUGAAGGGCCAAAUGGAGAAAACUGUCCAUUAAAUAUGAAUUAAUAAGUGCUAUGAUCAGAAAUUGUGUAAAAGCAACAUAAUGGGACUAUUAAACAGUAUUAUCUUUGAAUCAGACACCUUGGAUUUAUUUUAUUGACCUGCUACUUUCUAGUCAUACAACAGUGAUCAAGCUAUAUUACUUCUUUGGCUCAACAAAAUAGGGAUAAUCUCUAUUUCAUGGCUUGUUAUGAUUGAUGUGAAAUAUUCACACAAACUACCAUGGUGCCUGGUAAGUAAAAGACACUCAGAUAUUUCUUGGAGUUACAGUUAAUACUGUAUCCUUUAAAUCUGAGAAAAACCAACUUUUAAAAAUCACAUGUAUACAGUUGUUUACUGCUAGAAAUGGUAUUUAAUUAGUCGAUAACCCUGGUUAGAUAAUGAAAAACAAUAGUUUUAUCUCCGUUAUCCUAACGGAUUGGGGAACAGGUGGCUUCCUUCUCUUACGCUCCUGCCGCCAAAUUACCCGCUAUCAGCUAUGUUAUAAUGAAAACAGUUUCACACCAACUUCUUAAUAUACAUGUAUCUAUAUUAACUGAGUAAGAAAACUGAUCUUACAGCAUGUUCUGCAGGCUAAAGGAAAUUGCUCUCAGCCCACUGAAGUGCCCAAACCACCGCCUUGCCUGAAAGAUUAAGAAGUAGGAUUCUAUUACCUUAACAAAAGAUGUAGGCUGUCCAGGUGUCCAGUACUGUGACUCCACAACAUCAGUGGAGUCUGUUCUUUAUGAUCCACUCUCUACCAUGUAGAAUGUGUCUUCAAGAUCAAAAAAUGGUGGCUAUAGUGCUCACAUUCCAGAUAAGGAAGAAUGGGCAAGAAACAAAAGAUCCACUCCGAAUGUGAUGGCAAAAUUAAGACUUGUGAGUGAAAAGUGGAAAUUUGUCUUCGGUACCUACACACUGAAAGAAAUGUUGAAGAGAGUUCUUCAAGAGGCACAAGCAGGUGAUUCCAAGUUAAAUCCUAGAAUGCAGGAAUAAAUGAAGAGCAAUGGAAAUGGUAAAUAUGUGGCUAAAUUUGAAGGAAUAUUGGAUGUAUUAAAUUCUGAGGUUUAAAAUACCUGUGGAAUUAAAAUGCACCUACAAUAACAAGAGGCAGGAGAAGUUUGUACUAGAGUUUGUCCUCAGGUUCUGGCAUUAGGUAGGUAAAAUGGUAAAAUUACUUUUUUUUAAGACUAUGAAGACAAGCGUGCAUGUUGUAAUCUGUUAAGCACUAAAAGGCUAAUAGAAUGUAUACCUAACAAUUUAAUGGAGGCAAAAAGUAUUUAAAAGAAGGCAAGAACAAAAAAGGGAACAUAAAACAGAUGGGUCAAAUUUAAAGUUGCAAAAUAUAAACACAAACACUUUAGAUGAGUUAUUACUUGAAUUAAGGUUGAAAAUUUAUCAGGCUAAAAAUUCCCUACUACAUACUGCUUACAAGAGGCGUAUUUAAAUAUAAGGCCAUACAAAAAUGUUGAAUGUAAAUGCAUGGGGGGAAAUAUACAGUAAGCAAACCAAAUAAAAACAGUUUGUGGUAUUAUCAUGCAAUGAGAUUUAAGGCAAAAAGCAUUCUUUUACAAUGUUGAAGGAAUUAAUUCACCAAAACACAUAAAGAUCCUAAAUCUGUAUGUGUUGAAAACAUUUCAAAUAUGUAAAGAAAGAAUGACAAAUAAGAUGAGAAAUAGGUAAGUCUCUAACCAUAGUUGAAGGCUUACACAGCUUUUUCAAUAGCUGAUAGAAUAUCCAGACCCUCCCCCCAAAAAAAUCAGAUGUAAAAUAAUCGACAUUUACAUAUAUUGAAUACUUGAUUUAAAAAACAUAAUUCACAUUUUCUUCAAGUAAAUAAUUUAUGCAAAUUUACUCUAUGCUGAAUCGUAAAGCAAACCAAUCUCAAAAGUUCAAAAGCAUUUAUCUUACAUUCUCUAACACAGUGAGAUUAAACUAGAAAAAAACAGAGAUGAUUAGAGGAACCCCCAACUCCUUUGAAAUUAUGUCACAGAUUUCUUGAUAGUCCCUGGGUCAAUGAAUAAAACAAAUUUCAAAAUAAUUUCGAGUGUAUAAUAUGACAUACCAAAACAUGUGAGUUGCAGCUAAGCAGUGCAUGAAGGAAAUGUAUAGACUUACUUGCAUACAUUAGAAAAGAAGCAAGGCUGAAAGUCAAUGACCUAAACUAUUUUCAAGAAGUUAGAAAAAGAAAAGCAAGGAAAUAAUAAAAGACUAAAUGAAAUAACACAUAAUAGAGAAAGUAAAAAUAUUGUUUCUUUGAAGUCUAAAAACAGUAAUAAUCUCUACCAUUUAACACAUUUGAGAUAUUAGCCAAUAAAAUAAGACCUGAAGUAAAAAGAUACAAUGUUUAGAAAGAAGAAAGUAAUAGCAUUUAUAGACAACUGGUUAUGUGCAUAGAAAUUUCAAAAGACUCAACAGACAAAAUAAUGAACUUAUCAAGGUCACUGAAUACAAACUAUACAGAAAUUGUAUUUCUAUAUAUCAGAAACAAAUAGAAAUUAAUAAAAAUUAUACCAUUCACACUAGCAUAAAAUAAAUACCUACAAUUUUUUUAAUCAUUUAAGAAAUUUUAAAAAUUCUAAAUAUAUGGCUAUACCAUGUUCAUGACUUGGCAGUUUUGUAAAUUAAUCUGUAACUUCAAUAUAUGAUAUUAUCAAAAUCCCAACAGUAUGCUGGAGAAAUUGACAAACUGAAGAAAUGCAAAGGACAGAGAAUAUCCAAGGUAAACUUGAACCACAAAACUGAAAAAGUUCACCAACAGACAUAAGACCUGUGAUCAUAAAAGUAUAGUUGUAAUUAACACUGAUGUUGCCUGGCAUAAGAUAGGCAAAUAGAUUAAAGUAACAGAAUAGAUAGAAUUCUGUAUAUAUGGUGAUCCACACAUUUAGGUCAUCUGUGAUUUAUGAGAAAGGGAAACUAUUGCAGUGGUACAGUCAAUUAGAUAGCUGUGUUGGGGGACAAACUAGACCCCUUCCUUGACACCAUAUAUACAGAAAAAUCAGUUCCAUAUGGAAUAUGGUUUAAAUGAGAAAGGAAGUGAUAAAACAGAUAUCUUCAUACUUUGGGGUAGGCAACUGUUUAAAGGACAUAAAGCAUAAAGGAACAUUUUAAAGUAAUUUGUGGUGAUAGAAUCAGGGUAGAGGUUAUCACUUGCCUGGCAAAAUUGAUCAAUAAGAGAAAAACAACUUAGCCAAACACAGUGGCUCAUGCCUGUAAUCCUAACACUGGGACGCUGAGGCAUGAGGAUAACUUAAGGCCAGGAGUUCAAGACUAGCCUGGACAACAUAGCGAGACCUUGUCUCCACAAAAAUUUUAAAAAUUAACUGGGUGUAGUGGCAUGCACUUGUCAUCCCAGUUACUUGGCAGGCUGGGACAGGAGGAAUUUGAGCCCAGGAGUUCGAGGCUGCAGUGAGCUAUAAUUGUGUCAGCACACUCCAGCCUGGGCAACAGAGCGAGACCCUGCCUGUCUAAAUGUUUUUUUAUAAAAGACAACUUGGUAUCAGGAAAUAAAUAAGACAUGAAAGCAUAUGAAAUUAUUUGAUUUAGAAUGUUGUUAAUUUAUUCAGAUAUUUUUUGAUGUGUGUUGCCAAAUAUAUAUUAAUAAGUAAGUGUGAAUCUAUUUUUUAAAAUCAACUCUGAAUAAUCCACAAGCUCUGGAUGGUUUGUUAAACACAUUCAUUGUGACCAAGUAAGGAUUAUUUCCAUAUGGGAGAAGGAUUUAACAUUGGAAAAUCUUUUCAGAUAGUAUAUGCUAUGUUAAUAGAGUAAAGAGAAAAGGCAUAUUACUAUCGCAGUGAAUGCAGGGGGUUGGAGGGGAGAACCAGCAAAAUGUAAGUUAUAUUCACUUAAGAUUUUAAAAAUAAAACAGCCUCUUAAUAGAUGCAAAAACAUUAUUAGUACAACAAAUGAUAGUGUACCAAAACUCAUGGUUAAUGUAACAAGCUAAUGGUACAGCUUUAGAGAUGUUCCUUCAUGCCAGCAAUAGUGCAGGAAUGGGCUGUUGUAUUAAUACAUCCGCUCUGUGUUGCACUGGAAGAAGAAAUAAUAGGCAUAAGGAUUGGAAAGGGAAAAACAGUUAUUGUCAGUGGGCAAGAUCAUUGUUUGUUUGAAAGUCCAAGGAACACUACAAAGUAGUAUAUAUAACUAAUGUGAAAGUGGAGAGGCUUUGGAUAUAAGACCAAUCUGCAAGAAUUAGUAGUGUUCUUUUCCACUUCAAACAGUAUGUUUCAAAGUGUAUUAUUUGAAAGAAUUUCAUUCACAAUUAAAACUCUAGGGGACCUAAUAAUACAUCCAAUAAAAAUAUGCAAGCAUUUUGUAAAAGUAGACUGAGUGGAGCAAUAUUAUAUGUUUGUGGAUGGGAAAAAUCAGUACAUUAAAGCAUCAAUUCUCUCCAAAUCUAUAAAUUCACUGAAGUUCCAAUCAAAUUCUCAACAAAACUGUUUAUGGAAUUUAAUCAACCUAACCUAAAUGUGGAAAGAAAAAGCUGACAUUUUUUUUAAAAAGGGAAAAUAAGGUUAGGGGAGUCCCUAUCAUAAAGGAAGGUAGGGAAUAUAAAACUAUAGUGAUAACACAGCCCUUGUGAUGCAAGGAUAGACAUGUAAGUCUACGGCACAGAAACAGAUACAUGAGAACUUGAUAUGUGACAGAGUGGAGAAAUGAGUAACUUUUCAAUAAAUGGCACUGGGACAAUUGCAUGUCCAUAUGUGAAAAAAAUUAUUUACCCUUCUCACACCGUAUUUUUAAAAACUGGUAGAUUAAAGACCUAAAUGUGGGUGGGGGAAAUACCAUUUUAAAUAUUUUAGAAGGAAAUGCAGGAAAAUUUGAACCAACGUAAGGAAGGAGUUGUUGGUUUGACUCAAAAAAGUGGGAACCAUGAAGAAAACGAUUCACACAUCUGACCGUAUUAACACUAGAAAUUUAAGUGUGACAAAAGACUAAAUAUUAGAAGGCCAGCCACAGACUUGCAAGGUACGCACUUUACAAUUAUCUACCAGUAACUAACAAAGGAAGUGUCCAAAUUACAUAAAGGACUUCUUAAGGGGGUGGCAAUAAAUGAGCAAUAUAUGAGAGAGAACCAAAAGGUCAAUUAACAGGAAAAUGUUUUAGCUCACUAGUAGUCAAGGAAAUGCCAGUCAGCACAGCCAGAUAACAUUUCACAUCCAGUCAGAUAAUAGCAACGAUUGGCAAACACGUUGACAAAACAAUUCAUACUUUAGUAAAGUUGAAAUUAUACAUUGCUUAUAACAGCAGUUCAACAUCUGUGUUUUUACAAAAAUAAAGUUUGCAUCAUAUUUAGGUAUAGAAAUUGUCAGAACCCUUAAAGCUUAUUGUAGCCAUUUGUUGGAGGGAGACAGAAGACUGAAUUGCUUUUUUCAAAAACUAGAAAUCACAUUGAUGUAAAACAGAGCCUUAGCUUUAGAGACGGGGGAAAAAAAAACUCUCCAGUAUUUUGCUAAAUUUAUCUACAUUUAUAGAUAUUAACAAAUGCAGUUUGUAAACUACCAGUCUCCUACAUUGGUCAUAUUUUGACAAGGCUUUUUUUUUUUU